CCGCCUGGCUUCAGCCCCUCAGGCGAUGGCUGAGUGAGGGAGGGGAGGCGGCGGCGGCUGGGGUUUCAUUCGACGCCCACCAGGGGCUGAGCGAGCCUCCUUCAGUGCGCAAACUCGGGGCACCACAUAAAAGCUGGGCUGGCAGCUCUUUACUCUGCCUCGAUGGAGCCGCCACAAGCGGGUCACCGGAGAAGCCGCUAGCAGCGGUGCCGUAGCCUAGGCUUCCCCGUACCUUGGGCACAGAGGGGCUGUAAAGAACCGCUGCUGCGGCAGGAAGGAGUCGGGAUGAAGGGAUCUGGAUGCAGAGGAGGCGGCUGUAACGAGGCAUCGAGUAUGGGGGGAGGGAGUGAUUAAACGUCUUGUGGCCAUGGCGGAGUCUGAGGAUAGAGUAACUGAUGCACGGGGAGAUGCAGUGACUUGCCCAGUGUCACCCAGUAGGUCAGUGGCUGAGCUGGAAAUAGAGCCCAGGUUUCUUGAGUCCCAAUCCAGUGGUCUGUCCUCUGCCUGCCUGUGCAUGGGGCUUCAGAUUUUGCAUCUCAUCAGAAAGACAGCAUCUCAGAACAAAGUUUUCAGCUCCAAAGCAGAAUUCUUCAGAAAGUUGUGAGCAUGGAAAAUACCAUUAUAAUGAAAGCCUCAACAUUAAACUCACCUACCAGUGAAAAUGAUAGUGAAGGUAAUGCAUUACAAGCCUUAUCAUUACAAAAGCAAUCCUUUUGGUGAUUUCAUACUAGAAAUUCCAUCGGUGCGGCUAUUUAAAAAUUAACAAUGUGCUUUAGUACAAUCUGAGCUGUUAUUGACUCCUGUAUUUUUUUAAUUUAGAAGAAAUAAAAUCUUACAAUUUCUGUAACAGUA